rnacentral:rRNA from 1 species
GCGAAAUGCGAUACUUGGUGUGAAUUGCAGAAUCCCGUGAACCAUCGAG